UACAGGGGGGGCAAGCGUUGUUCGGAAUUACUGGGCGUAAAGGGCGCGUAGGCGGCCGUCUAAGUCAGACGUGAAAUCCCUCGGCUCAACCGGGGAACUGCGUCUGAUACUGGGUGGCUUGAAUCCGGGAGAGGGAUGCGGAAUUCCAGGUGUAGCGGUGAAAUGCGUAGAUAUCUGGAGGAACACCGGUGGCGAAGGCGGCAUCCUGGACCGGCAUUGACGCUGAGGCGCGAAAGCCAGGGGAGCAAACGGG
rnacentral:rRNA from 1 species